ACUGUGGAGUGUCAAACAAACGUCGGUAGCUUUGGCGAAGACGGACACGUUGAAGCAGUAA
rnacentral:sRNA from 12 species